AAUAUUGGACAAUGGGGGCAACCCUGAUCCAGUCAUGCCGCGUGUGUUAAGAAGGUCAUCGGAUUGUAAAUCACUUUAAGUUGGGAGGAAGGGCUCUAGGUUAAUACCCUGAAGUUCUGACGUCCGCAACCUAAUAAGCACCGGCUAACUCAGUGUCAGCCGCCGCGGUAAUACAGAGGGUGCAAGUGUUAGUCGGAAUUACUGGGGGUAAAGCGCGGGUAGGUGGUUAAGUAAGGUGGGUGUGAAAUCCCCGGGCUUAACCUGGGAACUGCUUUCAUAACUGCUGAGCUAGAGUACGGUAGAGGGUAGUGGAAUUUCCUGUGUAGCGGUGAAAUGCGUAGAUAUAGGAAGGAACACCAGUGGCGAAGGCGACUACCUGGACUGAUACUGACACUGAGGUGCGAAAGCGUGGGGAGCAAAC
rnacentral:rRNA from 1 species